GGGUAGCUCAGUUAGUAGAGCAUGAGACUCUUAAUUUCAGGGUUGUGGAUUUGAGCCCCACGUUGGGCA